rnacentral:lncRNA from 1 species
GGAAGAUGUUAUGAUUAAAUUCAAUCAAAAAUAUUUAUAACUUUGUAAUAUAAUUCUGGAAUUGUUGUUUGUGUAUAAAGCAUUUGGUAACAAUAAUAAAAAAGGCACAAUAAUUUCAAUGGUCUUGUUAUCAUUGCAAUAGUAAUAUAUUACAGUAUAUCCUUCAUGUCAAAAACAUGGGUAGUGUUUAAAAAGGUAAAUAAUUAUUCUGCAAGGUUUUCACAAAAAUCUAUCACAGUUUUACAUUCAUAGAACAAGUGAGUCAGAUUUUCACCUUUUUAGCAGAAAACGCAGAUAUCAUCAAUAGCCACAAAUUGGGAAACAUAAAAUUACAUGGAUAUAUCUUGUAGAAUCUUAAAGUGCACUUCCUUAAAUUUGUUUGGUAAACAAUAUUUGUAAGGCAUCAACCAAGCUUUAUUCCAGACAAUGUCCUGAUUGUGUGGUGUUGGUCGUGUCUCACUCUUUAAAAUACAUUCUCAAAUAUCAAGAAUUUGUGUAAUGUAACUGAAUUAACUUGAAAAAGAUGCCACGAUAACAGGGUGGAACAAGGUAUAACAGGGUGGACAGCUAUAAACGGGACAGAACAUAAAUGAAACCCUGAAUAGACAUCUACAUAGUAAUAGAUGUAGUAACACCAUUGAAACUGCUAUUUAGUAACAUACAGUUGAAGUCGGAAGUUUACAUACACCUUAGCCAAAAACAUUUAAACUCAGUUUCACAAUUCCUGACAUUUAAUCCUAGUAAAAAUUCCCUGUCUUAGGUCAGUUAGGAUCACCACUUUAUUUUAAAAAUGUGACAUGUCAGAAUAAUAGUAGAGAAAAUUAUUUCUUUCAGAUUUUAUUUCUUUCAUCACAUUCUCAGUAGGUCAGAAGUUUACAUACACUCAAUUAGUAUUUGGUAGCAUUGCCUUUACAUUGUUUACUCGGGUCAAACGUUUCGUGUAGCCUUCCACAAGCUUCCCACAAUUAGUUGGGUGAAUUUUGGCCCAUUCCUCCUGACAGAGCUGGUGUAACUGAGUCAGGUUUGUAGGCCUCCUUGUUCACACACACUUUUCAGUUCUGCCUACACAUUUUCUAAAGGAUUGAGAUCCGGACUUUGUGAUGGCCACUCCAAUACCGUGACUUUGUUGUCCUUAAGCCAUUUUGUCACAACUUUGGAAGUAUGCUUGGGCUCAUUGUCACUUUGGAAGACCCAUUUGCGACCAAGCUUUAACUUCCUGAUUGAUGUCUUGAGAUGUUGCUUCAAUAUAUCCACAAAAUGUUCUUCCUCAUGAUGCCAUCUAUUCUGUGAAGUGCACCAGUCCCUCAUGCAGAAAAGCACCCCCACAACAUGAUGCUGCCACCCCCAUGCUCCAUGGUUGGGACGGUGUUCUUCGGCUUGCAAGCCUCCCCCUUUUUAGUCCAAACAUAACAAUGGUCAUUAUGGCCAAACAGUUCUAUUUUUGUUUCAUCAGACCAGAGGACAUUUCUCCAAAAAGUACAAUCUUUGUCCCCAUGUGCAGUUGCAAACCGUAGUCAGGCUUUUUUUAAUGGCGGUUUUGGAGCAGUGGCUUCUUCCUUGCUGAGCGGCCUUUCAGGUUAUGUUGAUAUAGGACUCGUUUUACUGUGGAUAUAGAUACUUUUGUACCCGUUUCCUCCAGCAUCUUCACAAGGUCCUUUGCUGUUGUUCUGGGAUUGAUUUGCACUUUUCGCACCAAAGUACGUUCAUCUCUAGGAGACAGAACGCGUCUCCUUCCUGAGCAGUAUGAUGGCUGCGUGGUCCCAUGGUGUUUAAACUUGCGUACUAUUGUUUGUACAGAUGAACCUUCAGGCGUUUGGAAAUUGCUCCCAAGGAUGAACCAGACUUGUGAAGGCCUACAACAUCAAUACAUCCACAGGUGGAUCUUUCCAUCUGUACAGAGUGUUUAUUAACAGCCCAUGGCUCUGGCAUCUGACAAAUUAUCUGUCCAUCAGAGUACCAACAAAUAUCUUCCUUUGGACUUGGCCAGAAGAAUUUGUUGAUGCCAUUCAGGUGCAUGCACUUCACCUUAAUGUUAUGUUCCUCUACAUCUAUGAUGAUGCCAGGGUAUCCUUCAUGGUCAUAAUUGACAACACACCACUCCCCUACGUGAUUAAGUUCAAUGGUUCCAGGUCGCCAUGUGGUGUCAGCCUCGUCAUGAGAUGUAGGGAGCUGGUUAGAUGCUGCAGGGUCACCCAGAGUUGCCUCUUUGAGCUGAAAACAAGGACAGUCCAACAUGCCACUAUCCUUCUGCACAGACAAGUAUUUUAUCUGGCCUGGUGAGACACUGAUAACCUGAUUAAUCUUCAUCGUUCCUUUAAUGGCAUCUAAGGCAGGCAUCCGAGAGAAUACUUCAAAAUGAGAAGAUCCUGCCAUGGAAAAGACAACUGGGUGGACAUAAAGUGGAAAGGAGGGGAAAUAACUCACACCAUGCAGCAGGACACUUUCAGCUGCAGGGUCUUUGUAAUGCAG